ACCAUCUUAGCUCAGUGGUAGAGCGCGUGGCUUUUAACCAUGUGGUCGUGGGUUUAAUCCCCACAGAUGGUG
rnacentral:tRNA from 1 species